UCACUCAAAUAGAGACAUCAACACUUGCCUGAGUCCCCACAUACACAGGGUGGCAGUAACUUGUUUAUGUGUUUGGAAAACGCGAUAUGUAUAUUACAUAUUUAAAGUUCAUUUACAUUUUGUUAAUAGUAACUUACAGCAGUACAAAAAUUUUAAAGCUUUAUCUCUUCAAUGUUGUAGACUAUAUUCAGAGGGAAUGCAGAUACUGAGGCACCCUAGCUCAUCUAGGAAGUCGGGAAGAAAAAAGCGAGCCAAUGUUCAGUGCCACACUUGGACCACUGCAGAAAAGGCAGCUUUGUAAAGACAAUUUGAGACUUUCAUCAAACUAGGAAAAACUCUGGCUCAGGUUGACUGUCUAAAAUCCAUUUGGAAGUAGAAAUCGCUGUCCAGUUUAACAUGGUGUUGUGGAAAGUUUGCUGUUAAAAAUAUUACUUCCUGGCAGAGGUGUUACAAAGAGUUAAUCCAAUUUUUAUGCCCCCUCCAUUUGAACGAGAGGGGACGUAUAUAUUGUUUUACAUGACUAAUUCGGUCUGUAGAGCAAAUCUUGUCUGCUCAAUAUCUAAUGAAUUCUUUUGCUUGACUGUUUCCAAACUUGGUACAAUGAUUGCCCCUAGAUAGUGAAUGAACCAUAUUAAUUUACAGGUCACAGGGUCAAGGGUCAAACUGGACACAGUAAGAUAAUGUCUGUUCAAUAUCUUGAGAACGCUUUCCUGACAGACAUCAAACUCGGUAUACUGGUUUCUUUUAAGAAGUAGGUGGUUUCUUUUAAGAAGUAGAUGGUUUCCUUUAAGAAGUAUAUGUCCCAUAAUGUCCCAUAUUCAUUUUGAAGUCACAAGGACAAAGGUCAAACUGUAGUACAUAAUAAAAUAUUGUCCACUGAAUAUUUAAAGAACCAACCCUUUACCUGACAGUUACUAAACUUGGUACAGUGGUUGCCCCUAGAGAGUAGAUGACCCCUACUGAUUUCCAGAUCCCAAGGUUGAAGGUAAAAUUGGACAUAGUAAGAUACCGUCUGUUCAAUAUUUGAGAACCAUUCGCUUGACAUACAUCAAACUUGGUUCACUAAUUUUCCUUAAGAAUUAGAUACCCCAUGGAUUUUGAGGUCACAAGGUCAAGGGUCAAACUGGACAUGACAAGAUAUUGUCUGCUCAAUAUAUUGAGGACUCUUUGCUUGACAGAUAUCAAAUCAGGUACACUGAUUCUACCUAAGGAGUAGAUGACUCCAUUUGAUUUUGAAGUCACAAGGUCAAUGGUCAAAAUACUACGGACAUAGGUAUUGUCUACACAGUAUCUUGAGUUUGCGUUUCUUGACAGACAUCAAACUUGGUACACUGACACAUCAUAAGUGUAGAUAUCUAGUAUUCAUUUUAAGGUCAAUGGUCAAACUACUCUGGACAUCAGAUUUUGUCCAUUCAGUAUCUUGAGAACCCAUGUUUGACAAACAUCAAACUUGGUAGUCUGGUGCCGCCUAAAGAAUAGAUGGCUCCCAUUGGUUUUAAACUCUCAAGGUCAAAGGUCAGGACUCAAAUAACUGAUUAUUUGAAAAUAUCUGCUCAGUACCUUUAGAGAUCACAUAUAAUGGUUGCCUCUGACUAAUAGAUACAUUGUAACUUUUGCUACAGACAUUCUAAAUGAUCAUUUUCAAUAUUGUAAUAUGGAGGGCAUAUAUGUUUCUUAAAUCUUUCUUGUAAAUGGUUUUGAUACUAGUUUUAUAUACAAGAUGUAUUAUCAGCAUUUGUCAUUCAUUGUACACCAUACAUUGGUUCAUUCAAAAUUGAUAAAUAUAUAAUCAACAGCAGUACACAUGAAAUAAUUCUCCAUCUAUAUCUUGAAUUGAACAAAAAGUUUAAUGGUAUUCCAAGGCCUUAUAUUCAUGUGCGAUUGAAAGACUGAAUGAAUAUACUAAGAUAAUAUAACAGUAUUUAACUAAAACUAAUUGCAGUUUAACACUAAUGUACUUAUAAUGUAAUUGAUAGUACCACGCUCUUACUUGUAACUUGUUUUCAUUUAUAUUCAAUAGAUAUUUCAAGUUUGAUAGCUAACUCAAAUUUCAAAUAUGAAUGAACAUUAAGUGUCUGCUGUUUUAAGACUAAAGAGUAGCUUUAUUUACAUCAUAUGAGGUUUUUUGAGCUAAAUUGAUCAGCUUUGUAUGCUUAUGAAAUAAAUAUGUACACCUAUA